rnacentral:rRNA from 1 species
GAAAAAGGACACUGCAUCUCUGCAGAUCUGGAUGACGUGGUGCUCUUACGGUGAUGAGGUGCUUGCACCUUAUCUUAGCGGCGGACGGGUGAGUAAUGCUUAGGAAUCUGCCAUUUAGUGGGGGACAACAUUCCGAAAGGAAUGCUAAUACCGCAUACGUCCUACGGGAGAAAGCAGGGGAUCUUCGGACCUUGCGCUAAAUGAUGAGCCUAAGUCGGAUUAGCUAGUUGGUGGGGUAAAGGCCUACCAAGGCGACGAUCUGUAGCGGGUCUGAGAGGAUGAUCCGCCACACUGGGACUGAGACACGGCCCAGACUCCUACGGGAGGCAGCAGUGGGGAAUAUUGGACAAUGGGCGGAAGCCUGAUCCAGCCAUGCCGCGUGUGUGAAGAAGGCCUUUUGGUUGUAAAGCACUUUAAGCGAGGAGGAGGCUACUAGUACUAAUACUACUGGAUAGUGGACGUUACUCGCAGAAUAAGCACCGGCUAACUCUGUGCCAGCAGCCGCGGUAAUACAGAGGGUGCGAGCGUUAAUCGGAUUUACUGGGCGUAAAGCGUGCGUAGGCGGCUUUUUAAGUCGGAUGUGAAAUCCCCGAGCUUAACUUGGGAAUUGCAUUCGAUACUGGGAAGCUAGAGUAUGGGAGAGGAUGGUAGAAUUCCAGGUGUAGCGGUGAAAUGCGUAGAGAUCUGGAGGAAUACCGAUGGCGAAGGCAGCCAUCUGGC